rnacentral:rRNA from 1 species
CACGAACGCUGGCGGCAGGCCUAACACAUGCAAGUCGAGCGAGGACUUCGGUCCUAGCGGCGGACGGGUGAGUAACACGUGGGCAACCUGCCUCAUAGAGGGGAAUAGCCUUCCGAAAGGAAGAUUAAUACCGCAUAACAUUGUUGAAAGGCAUCUUUUAACAAUCAAAGGAGCAAUCCGCUAUGAGAUGGGCCUGCGGCGCAUUAGCUAGUUGGUGAGGUAACGGCUCACCAAGGCGACGAUGCGUAGCCGACCUGAGAGGGUGAUCGGCCACAUUGGAACUGAGACACGGUCCAGACUCCUACGGGAGGCAGCAGUGGGGAAUAUUGCACAAUGGGGGAAACCCUGAUGCAGCAACGCCGCGUGAGUGAUGAAGGUCUUCGGAUUGUAAAGCUCUGUCUUUAGGGACGAUAAUGACGGUACCUAAGGAGGAAGCCACGGCUAACUACGUGCCAGCCGCCGCAGUAAUAC